AGCAGGGAUAUGGGGACAAUAGUUAGAAGGGGAGAACGGUUAAAGAAAUUAUUUUUUCACAAUGGGUACUACAGUAGCAUGUUUAAGGGCACAGGGACAAUGCCAGAAGAGAGAGAGCAGUUGAAGAUGUGUGUUAAGGAAGGCACAAAACAAAGGGAGAGAGAUCUGAUAAGGUGAGAUGCGACAGGAUCAAGUGGGCAAGUGGUGGGGCGAGAGGAGAAGUGCAGCCACCUCUUGUUCAGUAGCUGGGAUGAAAGUCUGAAGGGUACGAAAGGCAUGAUCUAUGUCUGGUUGAG